AACGCGAAGAACCUUACCUAGACUUGACAUCUCCUGAAUAGCCAAGAGAUUGGUGAAGCCCUUCGGGGCAGGAAGACAGGUGGUGCAUGGUUGUCGUCAGCUCGUGUCGUGAGAUGUUGGGUUAAGUCCCGCAACGAGCGCAACCCUUAUCAUUAGUUGCUACCAUUAAGUUGAGCACUCUAGUGAGACUGCCAGAGUUAAUCUGGAGGAAGGUGGGGAUGACGUCAAAUCAUCAUGCCCCUUAUGUCUAGGGCUACACACGUGCUACAAUGGUGAGUACAAUGAGACGCAAGACCGUGAGGUGGAGCAAAACUUAUAAAACUCAUCCCAGUUCGGAUUGUAGGCUGCAACUCGCCUACAUGAAGCCGGAGUUGCUAGUAAUCGCGAAUCAGAAUGUCGCGGUGAAUACGUUCCCGGGCCUUGUACACACCG
rnacentral:rRNA from 1 species